AGUGAACGCUGGCGGUAGGCCUAACACAUGCAAGUCGAACGGCAGCACAGGAGAGCUUGCUCUCUAGGUGGCGAGUGGCGGACGGGUGAGGAAUACAUCGGAAUCUGACCAGUCGUGGGGGAUAACGUAGGGAAACUUACGCUAAUACCGCAUACGACCUUCGGGUGAAAGAGGGGGAUCGCAAGACCUCUCGCGAUUGGAUGAGCCGAUGUCGGAUUAGCUAGUUAGCGGGGUAAUGGCCCACCAAGGCGACGAUCCGUAGCUGGUCUGAGAGGAUGAUCAGCCACACUGGAACUGAGACACGGUCCAGACUCCUACGGGAGGCAGCAGUGGGGAAUAUUGGACAAUGGGCGCAAGCCUGAUCCAGCCAUACCGCGUGGGUGAAGAAGGCCUUCGGGUUGUAAAGCCCUUUUGUUGGGAAAGAAAUCUUUCAGGCUAAUACCCUGGGAGGAUGACGGUACCCAAAGAAUAAGCACCGGCUAACUUCGUG
rnacentral:rRNA from 1 species